GAUUAAGUUAUUAAGGGCGCACGGUGGAUGCCUUGGCACUAGAAGCCGACGAAGGACGUUACUAACGACGAUAUGCUUUGGGGAGCUGUAAGUAAGCUUUGAUCCAGAGAUUUCCGAAUGGGGAAACCCAGCACGAGUUAUGUCGUGUUAUCUGCAUGUGAAUACAUAGCAUGCAAGAAGGCAGACCCGGAGAACUGAAACAUCUUAGUACCCGGAGGAAGAGAAAGAAAAAUCGAUUCCCUGAGUAGCGGCGAGCGAAACGGGAAGAGCCCAAACCAAUAAGCUUGCUUAUUGGGGUUGUAGGACACUCUG
rnacentral:rRNA from 1 species